rnacentral:rRNA from 1 species
GACGAACGCUGGCGGCGUGCUUAACACAUGCAAGUCGAACGGCAAGGCCCUGCUUUUGUGCGGUGCUCGAGUGGCGAACGGGUGCGUAACACGUGAGUAACCUGCCCUUGACUUUGGUAUAACUUCAGGAAACUGGGGCUAAUCCCGGAUAGGAGCUCCUGCUGCAUGGUGGGGGUUGGAACGUUUCGGCGGUUGGGGAUGGACUCGCGGCUUAUCAGCUUGUUGGUGGGGUAGUGGCUUACCAAGGCGUUGACGGGUAGACGGCCUGAGAGGGUGACAGGCCAAAUAGGGACUGAGAUAAGGCACAGACUGCGAAGGGAGGAAGAAGGGGGGAAGAUUGAACAAGGGACGGAAGGCGGAUGAAGCAAGGCCGCGUGCGGGAUGACGGCCUUCGGGUUGGAAACCGCUUUCGCCUGAGAAGAAGGGUGAGUGACGGUAACGGGUAAAGAAGCACCGGCUAAAUACGUG